rnacentral:rRNA from 1 species
GACGAACCGUGCGAACGUUGUUCGGAAUCACUGGGCUUAAAGGGCGCGUAGGCGGGCGGUCAAGUCAGAGGUGAAAUCCCACGGCUCAACCGUGGAAGUGCCCCUGAUACUGAUCGCCUCGAGGGAGAUAGGGGCGUGCGGAACUUCCGGUGGAGCGGUGAAAUGCGUAGAUAUCGGAAGGAACACCGAUGGCGAAAGCAGCGCGCUGGACCUUUACUGACGCUGAGGCGCGAAAGCCAGGGGAGCAAACGGG